AAGGAAGUGCGUCAGCCAGAGUCUACACGAUGAGACAGCGAGAAGAGGCUGAGACUUCCGAUGUGGUAGCUGUUGAAAAGAAUAUCGGGAAGGAACCCGAGGAACCGAGUCGAGGCUAAAGGACGACUCGUUUGAGAUACAGAGAUUAGAGGAGCAGCAGACUGAGCUGCUGAGGUGUGUGAAGUCAUCAGUUUGAAGCCUUCGGGUAUAAUUUAUACCCUAACUGUAAAUACUUCUUUUGAUGUAUAUAUUGCACAUAAAUGUAUGGACAUGUAAAAAUGGGUCUUGAGCAGCUUGUACACAAAUUUGUAUGAAGUUUGUAAUAAAGUUUAGUUUGUGUUUCUUUUGAUAUAAAUUUGUAAGGUUAUGUAUAAAUUAUUUUGUUUUUAAUGAAAUAUGAAUGAUAUUGAUUGACAGUA